rnacentral:rRNA from 1 species
GCCUAUGACCAAUUCACCCGGGAUAUACCCGAUCUUGUCAGAUCUCAGAAGCCAAGCAGGGUCGAGUCUGGUUAAGUGCUUUGACGGGUGACCACCAAUGCCAAACAGGUAGUCGUAGGAC